CCUACGGGAGGCAGCAGUAGGGAAUAUUGCUCAAUGGGGGAAACCCUGAAGCAGCCACGCCGCGUGGAUGAUGAAGGUUUUCGGAUUGUAAACUCCUUUUGUUAGAGAAGAUAGUGACGGUAUCUAACGAAUAAUCACCGGCUAACUCCGUGCCAGCAGCCGCGGUAAUACGGAGGGUGCAAGCGUUAAUCGGAAUCACUGGGCGUAAAGAGCACGUAGGCGGGUGAGCAAGUCAGAUGUGAAAUCCUAUGGCUUAACCAUAGAAGUGCAUUUGAAACUGGUAUUCUAGAGUAUGGGAGAGGUAGGUAGAAUUCUUGGUGUAGGGGUAAAAUGCGUAGAGAUGAGGAGGAAUACU
rnacentral:rRNA from 1 species